AUUGAACGCUGGCGGCAUGCCUUACACAUGCCAGUCGAACGGCAGCACGGGUGCUUGCACCUGGUGGCGAGUGGCGAACGGGUGAGUAAUACAUCGGAACAUGUCCUGUAGUGGGGGAUAGCCCGGCGAAAGCCGGAUUAAUACCGCAUACGAUCUACGGAUGAAAGCGGGGGACCUUCGGGCCUCGCGCUAUAGGGUUGGCCGAUGGCUGAUUAGCUAGUUGGUGGGGUAAAGGCCUACCAAGGCGACGAUCAGUAGCUGGUCUGAGAGGACGACCAGCCACACUGGGACUGAGACAUGGCCCAGACUCCUACGGGAGGCAGCAGUGGGGAAUUUUGGACAAUGGGCGAAAGCCUGAUCCAGCAAUGCCGCGUGUGUGAAGAAGGCCUUCGGGUUGUAAAGCACUUUUGUCCGGAAAGAAAUCCUUGGCCCUAAUACGGUCGGGGGAUGACGGUACCGGAAGAAUAAGCACCGGCUAACUACGUG
rnacentral:rRNA from 1 species